UGGGGAAUAUUGCACAAUGGGCGCAAGCCUGAUGCAGCGACGCCGCGUGGGGGAUGACGGCCUUCGGGUUGUAAACCCCUUUCAAUAGGGACGAAGCGCAAGUGACGGUACCUAUAGAAGAAGCACCGGCCAACUACGUGCCAGCAGCCGCGGUAAUACGUAGGGUGCGAGCGUUGUCCGGAAUUACUGGGCGUAAAGAGCUCGUAGGUGGUUUGUCGCGUUGUUCGUGAAAACCGGGGGCUUAACUCUCGGCGUGCGGGCGAUACGGGCAGACUGGAGUACUGCAGGGGAGACUGGAAUUCCUGGUGUAGCGGUGGAAUGCGCAGAUAUCAGGAGGAACACCGGUGGCGAAGGCGGGUCUCUGGGCAGUAACUGACGCUGAGGAGCGAAAGCGUGGGGAGCGAACAGG
rnacentral:rRNA from 1 species